rnacentral:rRNA from 1 species
GACGAACGCUGGCGGCGUGCUUAACACAUGCAAGUCGAACGGAAAGGCCCUGCUUUUGUGGGGUGCUCGAGUGGCGAACGGGUGAGUAACACGUGAGUAACCUGCCCUGGACUUUGGGAUAACUUCAGGAAACUGGGGCUAAUACCGGAUAGGAGCUCGUGCUGCAUGGUGGGGGGGGGAAAGUUUCGGCGGUUGGGGAUGGACUCGGGGCUUAUCAGCUUGUGGGUGGGGUAGUGGCUUACCAAGGCUUUGACGGGUAGCCGGCCUGAGAGGGUGACGGGCCACAUGGGGACGGAGAUACGGCCCAGACCCCUACGGGAGGCAGCAGUGGGGAAUAUGGCACAAUGGGCGGAAGCCUGAUGCAGCAACGCCGCGUGCGGGAGGACGGCCUUCGGGUUGUAAACCGCUUUCGCCUGUGACGAAGCGUGAGUGACGGUAAUGGUAAAGAAGCACCGGCUAACUACGUG